AGUGAACGCUGGCGGUAGGCCUAACACAUGCAAGUCGAACGGCAGCACAGUAAGAGCUUGCUCUUACGGGUGGCGAGUGGCGGACGGGAGAGGAAUACAUCGGAAUCUACUCUUUCGUGGAGGACAACGUAGGGAAACUUACGCUAAUACCGCAUACGACCUACGGGUGAAAGCAGGGGAGCUUCGGACCUUGCGCGAUGCAAUGAGCCGAUGGCGGAUUAGCUAGUUGGCGGGGCUAAGGCCCACCAGGGGGGCGAUCGGUCGCUGGUCUGAGAGGAUGAUCACCCACACGGGAGGUGAGACACGGACCAGACGCCUGCGAGAGGGAGCAGACGGGAAUAUUAGGCAAUAGGCGCAAGCCUUGUCCAAUGAUACCACGUGUGUGGAGAAGGCCUUCGGGUGGUGAAGCCCGUUUGUUGGGAAAGAAAAGCAGCAGGUUGAGACCCCGCUGUUCUGACGGUACCCAAAGAAUAAGCACCGGCUAACUACGUG
rnacentral:rRNA from 1 species